UUUAAAAUUCCAUGUCUUUGCAUACUUAAAAAUGGGAAGCUGAUAUUUAACUCAGAAUUUGAUUUUCUUUUUCCAGUCACUAUCCUGUUUGCCUGACCAUUUCCUCUCUCUUUAAAUGCAGGUAAACAGAAACCGGUAGAAUAAAUUGACCAGCUCCCUCACCACCACCCUCUGAGGAGGACUCUAGAACUAAAGCCAUUUGCUUUCCACUGGCUCCAUUCCUCUUCAAAGAAAGAGCACACAUUUCAUGAUUAGCAGUUUUAAAAAUGUCUUGGGCCUUUGGUAGAACAGAAAAAAUGUCAAACAGGUUUGAAUAUAAUGAAAGGGUGUGGGCAGAAAUGUUGAAUUUUUCUGAAAGGUCUGGCCAGAACAAGGUUACCAGGAAAAUCAUUCUUUCCUGAAUAUAGGGUAAAGCUGGUUCGAUUCACUCCAAAAAUAUUUCACGUUUAGAUUUCCAAGGUUUCUUUCCUUUCCAGUAAUCCCUGGUAGACACCAGGCCAUAGCUCUCUCUGAUGGGGAAACUGAAAUGGAAUUGGAAGAACCAAGUCACUGCUGCUCAACGAGGGAAGUCACUGUCUUCCAGAAUUCGUCUGGCAGAAGUUUGAGGUUCUGCAUUACCAGAAGAGAGAAGAGAACGCCUCCUCAGAUGGAAAUAGUGAUGUCUACAGAAUGAACAUCUCUGAAUCCCUUUGCUAAUUUAAGACCCUGCAGUACCUGAGUAUCCCUGGAUUGCACAUCGGUUCUCAUCCUAUUCGCCUGCAGUUAGAGGAGACAAAAAGGGAUGCCAACCAGAUAAUCCAGGACGAUUUCAACGCAGCUAUCCUUCUUCCAGAUAAGGCAGUAUUCACAGGUUCUACGGACUGGAAAUGGACUUUUUUGUGGAGAAGCCAUUUUUCAGCCGACACAGAUGAAAAGGUGUCUUAUAAAUGACUUAUUGACUAUGAGUGCAUGGGGAGGGUGGAGUUGGUUUGCAGUAUUAUACUAGCGUCUCCUAUCUCGAUCCUGUGAUGAAAACUAUACGUUUUUAACCUAAAAAAUGUGACUACUGUAUAAACUCAAUACCUGAUUUUUUUUUUUUUUAAAUGAGGUAAUAGACUCAGGGAGUUUAGAUAAUUCACUUAAAGUACAUCAUGGAUUAAGGAUACCACUUAAGUGGUAAAUUUAGAAUCCAAAUAGAAGUAAUUCAUUUUCAUGUUUUCUUGAUAAAGGCUUUUAAACUGCAUCCCCCCUUUUCUAUCAAGUUAUUGAAGACUCAGAUCUCUCUCACACACACACACACACACGCACCCACGCACCCGUGCGCGCACACACACAUGCACGCACACAAUUCCAACACAAUAGAGGCACAGAAACCUCAUCAAUGCGUCCUUACAGGUUGAGCCAUAAAGAACAGUUUUUUUGAAAAUCCACUAAACAAAAAAAGGUUUUCAGGUGUGGAAAACAGGAGUGCACACACCGUAGGAUCCAUGACAACAUACUGCCAUUCUUUGUUUGCACACCUGCUUCAGAGAAUUGCAAACAUCUUGAGGGCAGGGAUUACAUAACAGUGAUGACAUAUUGUGCCCCCAUACUCACACUGUUUUUUAAGUGACUAUGGGUAUAGCCCUGGUGGCUCUUUUAGAACAGUGAUUCUUACCCCAUUCCUCCAGUAACAACUGCUUGAAUCAGGGGAGGACAAAAAGCAUC